UCGCUCUCCAGAUUUCCCCACACAGGUUCUAGCUCUUCUGUGCCCGGGUGCUGACGCGCUGCUGUGCUUCUGGUUCUGUGAAUUGGAUAUUUAAUUUAAAAAAAAGAAUACCUCAGGGAUGAAUACUUUGUGUUAGCGUGUCUUUUUUUCUCUGUAGAUCUUUUUGGAUUGAGUCCUUGUUUUUUUAAAACCAAGGACGUAAUUAUCUGCGGCGGAUCGUCGUCAUAGCUCGAACGAAGGGCGUGGCCACGGUAGUGUAGAAGCCUUAUCGUCCCGGACAGUAGCUACAACAACCAGCACUCUUGGUGGUCCAUCAUGGCUGAUACGCUCUGGGCGGCCGGAUGUGCUGGUGGCGUGGUGGCGGCGGGGCGCGACCCUGUGGCGGCGGCUGCAUGAGGGGCGGCGGCCAGCGGGUGUUCGACUCUUCGUGUGACGGGGGACACCGCUCCCCCGCCAUCCCCUACACUCCCCAAACACAACAACCACAUCCCUACGACGUGGUGCCGCGUCCACUCCCGGUGACCGCCACCGCUUCUGCAGCGGCCGCGGCCGCCGCUGCCGCAGCUGCCUACGCCUCGCCCGUAUCUCCCCCUGCCUUCCCUACUGGCAUCCUUCCCCCGCCCAUCGGCACGCCCUUAGGCACGCCGUCGCCACCUUGCUACGGCGGCUGCAGCUGCGGCGUGUCCACAGCUUCUUCCCCGGGCGCGUGCCGCGUGCACGAGCGCGUGUUUUCGUGCCCGCCGCCCCCGCCACCCGUCACGUGCGGUCCCACGGACCGUGAGAGUGUGGGGGCGCUCGCAGGGGGUGAUGGGGAGCUAGCCAUUAACGAUGACCAGGAGGUAUGGCACCCUAGGGACGAUACAUCGGAAGAGAUUAAAGAAGAAAGUGUAAAGGAGUUGUUACUGAGGCACUCGUGCGACGGGCUGGAUUUUAGCUUGCAGAAGCAAGUGUCGAUCAUGAGCCUGAACCUGAACGCCAAGAUCGAUGAGAUCCAGUGUCACCAGCACGCCGACACCAGUGCCGCCCUCCUCGCCAUCAGGUCGCAGCUGCAGGACCUGACGAAGAGCGUGGAGAGCUGCCAGAGCGAGGUGGUCGAGGUGAAGCGGGACAUGGUGGCCAUCAAGCACGAGAUCGACACCCUCCAAGCCGCCAAGGAGGAGAUCGAGGAGCUGCGCGACGCAGUGGACCGCCUCGAGGAACAGACCCGACGCAGGAAGAUCCGUCUUCUGGAGCAGGCUUCCUCUCUCUCCCCCACGGGUUUAACGUGCUUCUUGUGUUACGCCAUCUUCGCUGCUGUCCUUGGCAUGUUCCAGUUUGGCUACAACACUGGGGUGAUCAAUGCCCCACAGUCUGUAAUUGAGAACUUCAUCGGUGACUGCUGGAAGGAACGAUACAACAGGAACAUUGAGGGCAGCAAGCAGGAUUUGAUAUGGUCCAUUGCUGUAUCUAUCUUCGCCAUUGGGGGAAUGAUUGGUGGUUUCUGCGGUGGCAUAGUAGGAAACAGGUUUGGCAGAAAGAAGGGCUUACUCCUAAACAACCUUUUGGGAGUGGGAGGAGCAUGCCUCAUGGGCUUCUCUCAAAUGUUAUACUCUUUUGAGAUGCUCAUCCUAGGUAGAUUGGUCAUUGGCAUUAACUGCGGACUGAACACCUCACUAGUUCCCAUGUACAUCAGUGAGAUCGCCCCUCUCAACCUACGUGGUGGACUAGGAACUGUCAACCAAUUGGCUGUCACUGUUGGCCUGCUCCUCUCACAGAUUCUUGGCAUUGAGCAACUUCUUGGGAAUAGCGAUGCCUGGCCUCUUCUUCUAGGUCUUGCCAUUGUCCCAGCUGUGAUGCAGAUGGUGCUGCUGCCGGUGUGUCCAGAAUCUCCACGCUACUUGCUCAUGUCACGCCAAUUAGAGGAUGAAGCACGAAGAGCCCUACGAAGACUGCGUGCAUCUAGUCAUGUUGAGGAAGAUAUUGACGAGAUGCGAGCAGAGGAGGCAGCGAGUCAGACUGAAGCUCACAUGAGUAUGUUGCAGCUGGUGCGGUCAUCAGCACUGCGCAUGCCACUCACGAUUGGCAUUGUCAUGCAGCUCUCUCAGCAGUUGUCAGGCAUUAAUGCGUUGGUGCUGUAUUACUCCACAUCCUUGUUCACGGCUGCUGGUCUGGAAGAAUGGCAGUCCAAGUAUGCUACCCUCGGUGUCGGGUCAGUGAUGGUCAUCAUGACCUUGGUGUCCAUUCCUCUCAUGGAUCGUGCUGGUCGACGUACGCUUCACCUGUAUGGCCUCGGUGGAAUGUUUGUCUUCUCCCUCUUUAUCACUAUUAGUCUCCUUAUUAAGGAAAUGAUGUCAUGGAUGACCUUUAUCUCUGUGAUAAGCACCCUCUGCUUUGUCAUCUUCUUCUCUGUGGGUCCUGGCAGUAUUCCCUGGAUGAUCACAGCUGAACUCUUCUCCCAGGGCCCGCGUCCAGCUGCCAUGUCCAUUGCUGUUCUAGUUAACUGGCUGUCAAACUUCAUUGUUGGAAUUGGUUUUCCCAAAAUGCAGGAAACAUUUGAAAACUACACCUUUUUGCCAUUUAGUGUCCUACUCGCAUGCUUCUGGGUGUUUACAUACUACAAGGUGCCAGAGACCAAGAAUAAAACCUUUGAAGAAAUUUCUGCUAUCUUCCAAAGAGGGGUUGAAAGGCCGCACAGGGAAUACCUCGAUGACCCCAGACUGUAUGGUAACUUCCAUGCUGUCACGAGCAGCAAUCACCUGAGCACUUUGAAUUGUGUUAACACCUUGGGGUCGAAGCCCAUGGAGACCGAGCAUGCGGCACUCAUCCGCGAGCUCUCGGGCCGGGCGCAACAACAGUAAUGUUGUGUCUGAAGGGACCAUAACAAGUGAAUGAGUAAUCAUUUAUUAGAUAUAACCACAGAUUUCAGUCAUCAAAUCUUGCAGCCUUGUGAUCAGUGGUAAUGCUGUCAUUAACACUAGCAUAAGAAUAAACUUGAAAGUAUAGAAGUUGACUGAAUUAUUUUCUAAAUAUUGCAAGAAUCAGUUUAAAUGUUCAUGGACAAGAAAAUUGUUCAGUGAAACUAUGGAAGCUACCUGACUGGCUGUAUAAAAUGUUAAUAUAAUUCUGCAAAUCAUA
rnacentral:misc_RNA from 1 species